rnacentral:rRNA from 1 species
GAACGCCCCGCAAGGGGAGUGGCAGACGGGUGCGUAACACGUGGGAACAUACCCUUUGGUUCGGAACAACACAGGGAAACUUGUGCUAAUACCGGAUAAGCCCUUACGGGGAAAGAUUUAUCGCCGAAAGAUCGGCCCGCGUCUGAUUAGCUAGUUGGUGAGGUAACGGCUCACCAAGGCGACGAUGGGUAGCUGGUGUGAGAGCACGACCAGCCACACGGGCACUGAGACACGGGCCCGACUCCUACGGGAGGCAGCAGUGAGGAAUAUUGGUCAAUGGACGCAAGUCUGAACCAGCCAUGCCGCGUGAAGGAUGAAGGCCUUCUGGGUUGUAAACUUCUUUUACCUGGGAAGAAACCCCGAUUAUCUAAUCGGGUUGACGGUACCAGAGGAAUAAGCACCGGCUAACUCCCUG